CCUACGGGGGGCUGCAGUGGGGAAUAUUGGACAAUGGGGGCAACCCUGAUCCAGCCAUGCCGCGUGUGUGAAGAAGGCCCUCGGGUUGUAAAGCACUUUCAGUGAGGAAGAACGCCUGGUGGUUAAUACCCAUCAGGAAAGACAUCACUCACAGAAGAAGCACCGGCUAACUCCGUGCCAACAGCCGCGGUAAUACGGAGGGUGCGAGCGUUAAUCGGAAUUACUGGGCGUAAAGCGCGCGUAGGUGGCUUGAUAAGCCGGUUGUGAAAGCCCCGGGCUCAACCUGGGAACGGCAUCCGGAACUGUCAAGCUAGAGUGCAGGAGAGGAAGGUAGAAUUCCCGGUGUAGCGGUGAAAUGCGUAGAGAUCGGGAGGAAUACCAGUGGCGAAGGCGGCCUUCUGGACUGACACUGACACUGAGGUGCGAAAGCGUGGGUAGCAAACAGGAUUAGAUACCCCAGUAGUC
rnacentral:rRNA from 1 species